CCCUUAGAUGUCCUGGGCCGCACGCGUGCUACACUGACGCAUACAGCGAGCACUUUCCAGUUCCGAGAGGCUACUGGUAAUCAUCAAUAUGCGUCGUGAUGGGGAUAGAUCUUUGGAAUUCUGGAUCUUGAACGAGGAAUGCCUAGUAAUCGCAGGUCAUUAGCCUGCGAUGAUUAAGUCCCUGCCCUUUGUACACACCGCCCGUCGCUACUACCGAUUUCAAGUGGUCAGGUGAAUCUUUCGGACUGUGGGCGCCCUUGAGGUGUUCGCGGAAAGUCAGGUAAAUCUUAUCACUUAGAGGAAGUAAAAGUCGUANCA
rnacentral:rRNA from 1 species